rnacentral:rRNA from 1 species
AUGAACGCUGGCGGCGUGCCUAAUACAUGCAAGUCGCGCGAACAGACGAGGAGCUUGCUCCUCUGACGUUAGCGGCGGACGGGUGAGUAACACGUGGCUAACCUACCUAUAAGACUGGGAUAACUUCGGGAAACCGGAGCUAAUACCGGAUAAUAUAUUGAACCGCAUGGUUCAAUAGUGAAAGACGGUUUUGCUGUCACUUAUAGAUGGAUCCGCGCCGCAUUAGCUAGUUGGUAAGGUAACGGCUUACCAAGGCAACGAUGCGUAGCCGACCUGAGAGGGUGAUCGGCCACACUGGAACUGAGACACGGUCCAGACUCCUACGGGAGGCAGCAGUAGGGAAUCUUCCGCAAUGGGCGAAAGCCUGACGGAGCAACGCCGCGUGAGUGAUGAAGGUCUUCGGAUCGUAAAACUCUGUUAUUAGGGAAGAACAAAUGUGUAAGUAACUAUGCACGUCUUGACGGUACCUAAUCAGAAAGCCACGGCUAACUACGUG